GCAAUGGGUCUCGCUUGUUCUUUCGCUUCCCGGCUGAUGGAAAGACCAGGAGUCGCUGGAUAAAACACAUCAGGUAAGAUAAGGUUUUAUUUGUGCGUGGAACACAGCUAAGUUGGCUAGCUAGCUAGUAAAAAAGUAAAUGAUA